rnacentral:rRNA from 1 species
GACGAACGCUGGCGGCGUGCUUAACACAUGCAAGUCGAACGGAAAGGCCCUGCUUUUGUGGGGUGCUCGAGUGGCGAACGGGUGAGUAACACGUGAGUAACCUGCCCUUGACUUUGGGAUAACUUCAGGAAACUGGGGCUAAUACCGGAUAGGAGCUCCUGCUGCAUGGUGGGGGUUGGAAAGUUUCGGCGGUUGGGGAUGGACUCGCGGCUUAUCAGCUUGUUGGUGGGGGAGUGGCUUACCAAGGCUUUGACGGGUAGCCGGCCUGUGAGGGUGACCGGCCACAUUGGGACUGAGAUACGGCCCAGACUCCUACGGGAGGCAGCAGUGGGGAAUAUUGCACAAUGGGCGGAAGCCUGAUGCAGCAACGCCGCGUGCGGGAUGACGGCCUUCGGGUUGUAAACCGCUUUCGCCUGUGACGAAGCGUGAGUGACGGUAAUGGGUAAAGAAGCACCGGCUAACUACGUG